rnacentral:rRNA from 1 species
UACAGAGGGGGCAAGCGUUAUUCGGAAUUAUUGGGCGUAAAGGGCGCGUAGGCGGCUUGGCAAGUGGAUGGUGAAAUCCCUCGGCUUAACCGAGGAACUGCCGUCCAAACUGCUGUGCUUGAGUGUGGGAGAGGCGCGUGGAAUUGCAGGUGUAGCGGUGAAAUGCGUAGAUAUCUGCAGGAACACCCGUGGCGAAAGCGGCGCGCUGGACCACUACUGACGCUGAGGAACGAAAGCUAGGGGAGCAAACAGG